AGCUUGAUUGGUUGUUGGAGGGCGCUUAUUUUAUAAUCUCCGAACAUCUGUCAGAGAGAAAAAAUGGUGAAGAAAGAAAAUAAUAUAAGCUGUGACGUGCGCCUGCAUUUUUAUACCAGGACGUAGAUCUAAGACGAGAGCUUGUGUUUAAAUCUUAAACAGAGAACUGCUUUUGCUGACAAUCUAGGAAAACAUUAAAUGUGGCAUCUACCCCCAACAAGAAUUGCCAGAAUGUCUAAGGAUAAAUUUGAAAAAUGCUGAAAAUGUCAUCAGAUACCUGGAUCAUAUUACCACACGUGGUGGACAUGCAUUGAAGCUAAAAGAUAUUGGACUAAAAUACACAAGUGGUUGGAAAAAUGAUUAAAAAGCAUAUUGACUUUAAGCCAGAAGUCUUUCUGUUGGGAAUUAUACCGGAGAUAUAUACUAGAGAUAUAAAAUAUUUGAUUGUGAAUAUUCUUACAGCAGCUAGGAUUGUUUUGCAAAAAAUUGGAAAAAUGAAAAAUUACCUUCGCAAGAUGAAAUAAUUAGAAAAAUGUUGGAAUGCGCAGAGAUGAGUAAGUUAACAUUUGAAAUUAGAGAACAAGAAGAUAAGCAAUAUUAUAAAAUAUGGGAGUUAUUCUACAGUUGGUUAAACAGAAAGAUACGUUAGGAAAAAUGAGUAUAAGAUAUAUGUAUGAAAGAGAUGUUUAUUUUCUGAAUGCACAGAAGAUAUGUUAACACCCAUGCAGCACGUUGUA